rnacentral:sRNA from 1 species
AUACGACCCUAACAUAAACACCUUUGAUAUAUGUUGUUGUACACAACAUAUAUCAAAGGUGUUUAUGUUAAGGUCGUAU